rnacentral:rRNA from 2 species
AGAGUUUGAUCCUGGCUCAGGACGAACGCUGGCGGCAUGCCUAACACAUGCAAGUCGAACGGAGAUAUUCAGGAAGUUUACUUUCUGAGUAUUUUAGUGGCGGACGGGUGAGUAACACGUGGGUAAUCUGCCUAUCACAUUGGGAUAACAGGGUGAAAACGCUGCUAAUACCGAAUAAGCCGACAGGGAUGGGAGUUCCAGUCGGAAAAGGAGCAAUCCGGUGAUAGAUGAGCCCGCGGCUGAUUAGCUAGUUGGUGAGGUAACGGCCCACCAAGGCGACGAUCAGUAGCCGGCCUGAGAGGGUGAACGGCCACACUGGAACUGAGAAACGGUCCAGACUCCUACGGGAGGCAGCAGUGGGGAAUCUUCCGCAAUGGGCGAAAGCCUGACGGAGCAAUGCCGCGUGAGUGACGAAGGCCUUCGGGUUGUAAAGCUCUGUCUUCAGGGACGAAAAAAAUGACGGUACCUGAGGAGGAAGCCACGGCUAACUACGUGCCAGCAGCCGCGGUAAUACGUAGGUGGCAAGCGUUGUCCGGAAUUACUGGGCGUAAAGGGCGUGUAGGUGGACUGAUCAGUCGGAUGUGAAAUAUCCAGGCUUAACCUGGGGGCUGCAUUCGAUACGGUCAGUCUUGAGUGCAGGAGAGGGCAGUGGAAUUCCCAGUGUAGCGGUGAAAUGCGUAGAUAUUGGGAGGAACACCAGUGGCGAAGGCGGCUGCCUGGACUGUAACUGACACUGAGGCGCGAAAGCGUGGGGGAGCAAACAGGAUUAGAUACCCUGAUAGUCCACGCCGUAAACGAUG